CAGUCGCCGCGGGAAUACGUAGGUGGCAAGCGUUGUCCGGAAUUAUUGGGCGUAAAGGGCUCGCAGGCGGUUUCUUAAGUCUGAUGUGAAAGCCCCCGGCUCAACCGGGGAGGGUCAUUGGAAACUGGGAAACUUGAGUGCAGAAGAGGAGAGUGGAAUUCCACGUGUAGCGGUGAAAUGCGUAGAGAUGUGGAGGAACGCCAGUGGCGAAGGCGGCUUACUGGCUCGAAACUGACGCUGAGGCGCGAAAGCGUGGGGAGCAAACAGGAUUAGAGACCCCCGUAGUCCCUGUCUCUUAUAA
rnacentral:rRNA from 1 species